rnacentral:miRNA from 1 species
UGUUAUAAGAUGAUCUAAUCUGUCAACAAGUUCUAAUUAAAGAUAACAAGUUCUUUUUUCCACAGACAGCAUCCUGAAUUAAACCAUGGGACUAAAGCGUCAAAAGAACUUGUUAUCUUUAAUUAGAACUUGUUGACAGAUUAGAUCAUCUUAUAAC